rnacentral:rRNA from 1 species
UAGGGAAUCUUCCACAAUGGACGCAAGUCUGAUGGAGCAACGCCGCGUGAGUGAAGAAGGUUUUCGGAUCGUAAAGCUCUGUUGUCGGUGAAGAAGGAUAGAGGCAGUAACUGGUCUUUAUUUGACGGUAAUCAACCAGAAAGUCACGGCUAACUACGUGCCAG